GCCUGGCCAUAACAAAACAAUAAAAUAACACAUUGUUCGCCAAAUAACUACGAGUGAAAACUUAAAAUUUAAAAGACUUGACGGUACUUCACACCAACCUAGAGGAGCCUGUCCAAUAAUCGAUAACCCACGAUUAACCCAACCCGCUCUAGCCUGACAGUCUAUAUACCGCCGUCGUCCAGCUUACCUUGUGAAAGAAACAAAGUAAGCAACAGCCCUCACACUAACACGACAGGUCAAGGUGUAACUAAUGAGCUGGAAUAAGAUGGGCUACAUUUUCUAACCUAGAAAAAACGAACAACCUAUGAAACUAGAAACUGAAGGUGGAUUUAGCAGUAAGCCGAAAAUAGAUAUACUCCACUGAAACUAACGCAAUGAAGUGCGCACACACCGCCCGUCAUCCCUGUAAAACACACAAUCACCUAUAUAAUAACAUUAUAACCUCAAAGCAGGGCAAGUCGUAACAAGGUAAGCGUACUGGAAAGUGCGCUUAGAAACAAAAAGUAGCUUACAUCAAAGCACCCGACCUACAAUCGAACGACAUUAACCUUUAAUCUUUUUGAGCUGACUUCAGACUAACCCUACAACUAUCCCAAUAUAAUAAAACAAACC
rnacentral:rRNA from 1 species